rnacentral:tRNA from 1 species
UGGCUUAGCGGUUAAGAGCACUGACUGCUAAUCCAGAGGUCCUGAGUUCAAUUCCCAG